CCCCGCAGUGGGUUCUUUCCUGGAAACAGGGGAGAACAACAACCUAUAAAUUUUUUUAUGUCAGAAAACAUAUUUUUUUUUGGAAUGUGAGAGGUAUAAAUGACUCUACUAAACAUUCAGAUUUUCUGAGGUGGAUCUCUACUCACCAUAUUAGUAUAGGAGCCCUUUUAGAAACCCAUAUCAAAGAACCCUCCCUAAGCCAUGUUUUGUCCUCUCUUUGCCCAGCCUGGUCUUUUUGCUCCAACCACUCUUCCGACCCUGAUGGCAGGAUCAUCAUGAUCUGGAAGCAACCAGCUACUGUCACCACUCUUCAUCAAUCCAGGCAAACAUUGACUGCCGGAGUUGACUAUCCUUCUGCUCACUCGUUUUACUUCACAGCUGUUUACGCUGGCAACACCGUAGAGGAGAGGAAUGAUCUCUGGAUCGAACUAAUUGAAAUUCAGGCUUCCCUCUCAUUAGAAUCAAACCCUUGGCUGCUAGGGGGAGAUCUUAAUGAGAUAACUCACCCUGAAGAGCACUCUUCACCAGCUGCCUCUCAGAUAUCUUGCCCCAUGAUAGAGUUCAACACUUGUCUCAACCAAUUGGAAGUCUGUGACCUGAGAUAUCAUGGAGAAAAGUUCACAUGGUCAAAUAAGCAACCAGAUAGUCCUAUAGCCAAAAAGCUUGAUAGAGCCUUGAUUAAUGAGCAUUGGCUAAACACUUACCCCCGCAGCCUAGCCAAGUUCCUUGCACCUGAGUUUUCUGACCAUACCCCUUGCUGCAUUGAACUUGACUGCCCCACCCCAUUAGCUGGAUCUAAACCCUUCAAAUUCUUCAACUACCUUCUUACCCUUCACCCUGAUUUCCUAACCCUGGUAGAAGAAGCCUGGACUUGCACAGAAAACGAGAAUCACUCUCUCUCCCUAUUGAGUGUUAAGCAAAAAGAGCUAAAAAGAGUUUUGAAACAACUCAACAAAGAUAAUUUCUCAGAUAUCCAGAAAAGAGUUUUAGAAGCUAACAGUUUAUUUACUGAUGGGCAGGUACUUUCUCUUCGUCAACCGACACCUGACCACUUUGCUACUGAAAAAGAACUCCAUGAGAAGCUAUUGUUCCUGAAAAAAGUUGAAGAAGAGUACUAUAAACAACUUUCAAGAAUCAACUGGCUAAAAUGUGGUGACUCCAACACUAGCUACUUCCACAAAGUAGCUAAGGCAAGAAAAGCUUUUAAUGCAAUCAUCAUCCUGAUCAGUACAACAGGGAUAGAAGCUACCUCUCCUCAAGAUAUCGGUAACCUAGCGGUUGCGCAUUUUUUGAGUAUCCUCGGCCCUCCCACACCUCAAACCUCGCCCGUAAUGAUCGAUUCGGUUGCUGGCAUGAUCCGAACAAAUCGCUUCUCUUGCUCUCCAGAACAAGCCGCAAGUCUCUCUAGGAUGCCUUCCCCUGAAGACAUAACCAAAGCAAUGUUUAAACUCAACAAAAACAAAAGUCCAGGACCGGACGGGUUCACUUCAGGGUUCUACAAAGCUGCGUGGGGUAUCUUGGGUCAGGAAGUCAUUAAUUCUAUCCUCUCGUUCUUCUCUACCAAACACCUGCCACCAUCCACCAACUCCACAAUCCUUACCCUCAUUCCCAAAUUCCCAGGAGCUACUAUCAUUAAAGACUAUAGGCCCAUCUCCUGUUGCAACACUCUUUACAAAGUAAUUUCAAAAAUCCUAGUCAACCGCCUAAAACCACUCCUACCCUCUAUCAUUCUCCCCAACCAAACAGCCUUCAUAAAAGGUAGAUUACUCCUCGAAAACUGCUUGCUUGCUUCGGAGCUCAUCUCAGGAUAUCAUAAGCAACAAGAGGAUAAAAAGCUUACCUUGAAGAUCGACAUAGCCAAAGCGUUUGAUUCUGUAAGAUGGAAUUUCCUUGUAGCCUGCCUUCAAGCCCUGAACCUCCCUCCGGAUUAUAUCCAGUGGCUCCACGCUUGCUUCUCAACUACAAGCUAUUCUGUGGGCAUCAAUGGGUGCCUCCAUGGCUACUUCAAAGGAACAAAAGGGUUGCGCCAGGGAGAUCCCUUAUCUCCUUACCUCUUUGGAUUGGUAAUGAAAACUCUUUCUCAUAAGUUGAAUGUUGGAGCACAAUCAGGUCGAUUUGGUUAUCACCCUAGAUGUCAAGAGUCAGGACUUACACACCUAUGCCCUCUUAAAUGUUUGCCAAGAGUAUUGCUGUUAUUAGUUUUGUGAGCAUCUCGUCUUGUUGAUACAGAAAGCAUAAACUUAUUAAACAAUAAACACAAUACUUAAAAAGAAAGUUUUAUAUU
rnacentral:lncRNA from 1 species